UUCUUUUUCAACCAAGAAUUCAAAAAAAAUAACAAUAAUAAUUCAGGCACUAGAUUUCCAUGAUAAAUAAGAAAUAAUUUGUAAACCAUCAACAUAGAUACAUUUUGAAGUUCAAAGGGCUCCCAGUUCAAAUAAAGGACCGGUACCUAGCCUUGACGCUCCCCCACCUCCUUUUUCAUGAGAAAAAGAGAGAGAGAGAAAGAGAGAGAACCAAAGAACUAUUUUGGCAUGUGGAUUACAGAACGUAAACACUUCCCUUCUUUCAUGAGAUUGAAUGCUUUAUUGAUAUCUUCGAACGGCAGAUUGUGAGUGAUGAAGUCAUCAACUUGGAUUUCCUUCUUCAUAUACAUGUCUACUAAUGAAGGAAGAUGUGAUUUAGGUUUCCAUCCUCCAAACAGAGACCCUUUCAGUGUUCUUCCACUAAGAAACAGUCCAUAGUGAGCAGAUAUUUCAGGUUUCAGUUUUGGUACACCAAGUGUUACCGUUAAUCCACACCCAUCACAGCAAGAUUGUAAGGCUGUUGUAAUCAUUCCAGUGUCACCAAUACAUUCAAAUGAGUAAUCUGCCCCUCCAUUUAUAAUACUCUUAACAACCUGUUGAAUAGGUUCCUUAAAGUCAUUUGGGUUAAUAAAAUGUGUUAUUCCAAAAACCUU
rnacentral:misc_RNA from 1 species